rnacentral:lncRNA from 1 species
UGUCCCGCGAUGAUCAUGCUGCGUUCGAAGUUUUACUUCUCAUGUUUUGUACCACAAAAAGGACGUCAGUGGUCAAGUGUUGGACAGCCUAUGGUACCAUUUUUCCACAUAAACAACUCAAAAGAUGGUCAAUUGAUGCAGACAGCUGUUAACAAGUUAACAUCCGGCCUGUUCCUACUUAUUCAUCUCUUUGCCAUCAACCUUUCAAGACGACAUCACUAAUUGAUUAAGAGAAGAGUUACAAUGUGUGCAUCCAAGAAUUGGCUGGUUCCGGAUGUAUGCAUAGUUUUCAAGGAUGUUGUCAAGACACCACCUCUGCCUGUUACUCCUGGUUGUACUGAUUAUGUGCCAUCCUUGAUCUGAAGUGGGUUGGGCAAACACUGGGCAGAUAUUGAACUAACUUGAGCAGAGAAAAAGUGGUUGAUACAACAGUAAUCUUUGGGAAUUGUCAGGUUACCUGAAGCCUGCCCUCGGAAUGCAACCCAGCAGCCUAAUCAGUGUGACGGUGCUUCGGAUGUGGAGGGUGCUGAUAUGGGGUGCUCGCCAUUGCUUGAGUCUUGCAAUUUUGUUCACAUUUUAUCUUCCUUCAUCUCUUUUAAAUAAUGAUGAAAGGUCCUUUCAGACAAGCACUGAUGAAAACACGGGUCCUGUGUGGUGAAAUUGCUUCAAACUGCAUGGAUAUUGUGUCUCUUGAAAGUGCGCCCUUGUCUCCAAAUCACACAGGCCCAGCAUGUUUUCUGCAGGGAUUGAGUUCUUCCUAACUCCACCAUCAGUACAUAACCCACGCAAGUAUCACUGGGUAAAGCAUGCCAUUAUCCUGAGGAUAUUGUGUAUUGACAUUUAUCUUGCUCUUGCCUUUGUGCAGAAUAGCAGGUCACUACAAUAUGCUGCCUAUCAGUCAUAGCCUUGCUGCCAUCUGGUUCUGUACACACAUUAACAUUGUGUUUCCAUAUUUUUUUGGGGGGGGGGGGUUGAAAUCAGACUUAUGAAAUUAGAGCCUUCCUUUCCCUUAUAACAAUUAUCGUCUGGACCCGUGAAUGGAAACAAAAUGAUGAAUU